rnacentral:rRNA from 1 species
UACGAAGGGGGCUAGCGUUGCUCGGAAUCACUGGGCGUAAAGGGUGCGUAGGCGGGUCUUUAAGUCAGGGGUGAAAUCCCGGAGCUCAACUCCGGAACUGCCUUUGAUACUGGCAAUCUUGAGGCUGGAAGAGGUUAGUGGAAUUCCCAGUGUAGAGGUGAAAUUCGUAGAUAUUGGGAAGAACACCAGUGGCGAAGGCGGCUAACUGGUCCAGAUCUGACGCUGAGGUGCGAAAGCGUGGGGAGCAAACAGG